rnacentral:lncRNA from 1 species
GUUCGAUCAUAACGGUCAGGUGUACACAUCUGACGACACCCCCCUAAAGUUAAUAGUCCACUACUUUAGGGAUUAAACGGACCACGGAACAUUUACUACUGUACACACUAUUCUAUAAUUAGGUACGAUAAGCAGAAACAUCUUCACGGGUAUUCUAUAAUUAGGUACGAUAAGCAGAAACAUCUUCACGGGGACAUGAUAGGUGGCGUUCAGAACUUGCCCAGACCACAGAAGCUACUACGGUGAGCUAGACUAAAAGAUGAGCCUGACUGAAGUACUGAAUUCGGC